rnacentral:rRNA from 1 species
UACGGAGGGUGCAAGCGUUAUCCGGAUUCACUGGGUUAAAGGGUGCGUAGGUGGGCAGGUAAGUCCGUGGUGAAAUCCCUGAGCUUAACUCGGGAACUGCCAUGGAUACUAUUUGUCUUGAAUAUUGUGGAGGUAAGCGGAAUAUGUCAUGUAGCGGUGAAAUGCUUAGAUAUGACAUAGAACACCAAUUGCGAAGGCAGCUUACUACACAGUUAUUGACACUGAGGCACGAAAGCGUGGGGAUCAAACAGG